UAACAACCUUAUGGGAGUGCUUAUAUCCAUUACCACUUCUGGCAAUAACAACCUUAUGGAAGUGCUUAUAUCCAUUACCACUUCUGGCAAUAACAACCUUAUGGAAUCCUAGUCUUGUAAAAGUUUAUUUAAGCUCAAUUGUUACAGGAGCUUGAUUUCCUUUCCUAUCAUUAGUUUCCCUGACUUUAUGUUCUACAUUAUAUAUAACUUGAAUUUCCAUCACUACCAUGGAAUGGCCGCUUGUGGAUAAGGAAUGAAGGUUAUGAAGCCACUGAGAGUUACAUUUUGAUUCCCUGUUUGUCUUUUAAUGUUCUUUUUAGAAAUGGCUCUAUGAUGGAGUCAAGGAAAAGACUGAGAAAUAUGCCUUGAAAUUUAAAUUCAUUUACAUGUUUGGAGAAUAUAUGGGAAACAACAACAAUAAUAAACCUUAACUGGUAUAUAUGUGUCCAUGUUAGCCAAGUGAACAUUGUUUUAGAUUUGGUGACCUCUGUUUUAACUAAUAUUGAAAAUUUGAUUAUCUUAAUAAGAAUGACAUAAAACUCAGUACAUGAUCUAAAAAAAAGCAUUCUUAUUCUAAAAAGAAUGGUUCUAUCUUUAACAUUUCCAAUGUUUUAUCUUCAUUAUCAGUAUCCUAGUCAUAAAACUAUUUCAAUGCACUAAAUAUAACUAGUAAAGUAAAAUUCCCCUUUCAGACCUUGCGAUCUAUAGGGCAGAUGAUGUAAGGGUCUGUUUCUAUGGAUAAUGGUUAACAAGGGUGUCAUGUGGCCAGAACAAUGACCAACCACCUUUACUUUCCCUAACGAAUUUGAGGUACCCAUGAGGUGGGUGGACUCAUGAGCAUUCUAAGAAUCCUGAAAUUGUAAAAAAAAAUCCCAGUCUUCACCAAGAUUAAAUCUAAGACCCUCAGUUUGGAAGCCAAGUGUUGUCCCUAUCAGCCACAGCACCGCCAAAAUAAAACUAAAUUAUUCAUUUUCUCUUACUACAGAUUAAAUAUAAUUGUACUAAAUUUCUACCAUUGUUCUACAGGUCAUGGCAACAUUGUGAAUAUCGUAAACCAUGCAGAGAUAACGGCACUUGACUUGUUCACCAAUUACUACCUCCAAUCAUGUUCGAACAUUCAAGUGUGAGUGUGCUGCACCGGGUUACUAUGGUGACAGGUGUGAAAAUAAAUGUCCAAAAGAUUUGUCAGCUAAGGAGCCUAAAAUGUUGGCCUGUUUACAAAUAUGAGAUCUUCCUUAACUACACAAGUACCUUACAGAAGAAGGCUACUCACUUGUGUUUGGAUAUGCCUGCUGUACCAAGGCUCACAUAGACUGGAUAUUUAUAUAGCCUAAUAUUAUGUUACUGACAAUUAUCUAAGUAUUGCAUGUCCUGUCCAAGCCUCAAUGACUAAGAUAAUUAAAGAUAUUCAUGAUUAUAAGAUAAGUAGAAUGCAAUGAAAAUCAAAGAUGCCGGUAUUAAAACAAGAAAAAGUAGGCAACUGUAUAGCUUACUUUUCUACUAUCUAUAAUGUUUGUAGAUUCUAAAGUUAGAAAGUGUCUUUUUUUAAUGACACAUUGCCUGUCAAUUCUGUUUAGCUUAAUCUUUUUUUUUAAUAUAGUGCCUAUCACCUUAAGUGAUGGUCAAGCUCAACUGAUAUUAUUCUAAGCGGCUUUUUUCUCUGGGAAUUAUUCAACCACAGAAGCUGUGAGGGACAGGGCCGGUCUUAGGCCACUGCAGCCUAUGUGGUCGCAGUGGGCCCCGCGCUUUUAUAGGCCCCGCGCUAUUUAAUUAAACCAUUAUAACUUAUAUAUAAUAACAAGGUUUCCACGGCCUCCUGAGUUUCAGGAAAUUUCCCGAAAUUAUUAAAGUCUCAUGAAAAACGGACAAUAUUGUCAUAUUUGGGCUGCCAAAAAAUAAAAACAGCAUUGUGAGCUUUCAUUUAAUUAAAAUUUUUUGCAAAGAAUAUUUUCUAACUAAAAUAAUCUUAAUUUUGACAUUAUGCUUAUCCCUACCCAGACAAGGCCCCUCGCAAUCCGUUUCGCAUAGGGCCCCGCAAUAGCUAGGACCGGCCCUGGUGAGGGAUAUCUGAAAUCCAUUGCUGACUUGUCUAGAAAGACUUCCAUCCAUUCAGUGAUAAAAGAUUAAGUGUACACAACUUUUAGUAGUCACCACAUAACACUUACAUUUUGAUGCUCAAGACAAUACUGUUCAUGAAUGGUUUAGUUUUCUUUAUGCUGAGAGUGUCCAAGAAAGAUAAGGUCAAAGGUUAAUUGGAGUUGUUUUUUUUUAUGCUGUGACAGUGUUAAAUUUCCCUUGUGUUUUUGUAUGAGUUUAAAGACAUUAACCAUAUUUUUUGUUUUACAAAUGUAGGACGAACAUGUUCAUAAACUUUGUCUUUGAAUCUGAAAUUGUAAAACACUUAGAGAAAAAACUUACAAUGUUUUGUUUUUUAAUUUAAAUUUACCAGGUACCUGCUAUUCAUUUACUUUGACUGUUGACUUAAAGUUAGAAAUUAAACAAAGAUUUCUUUGAAAUAUAUUUGUUAAUGACUAUAGGCAUUAAAGAGAGUUGACACAGCUAACUGUACUUUUCAACAAGAUAAUGUCUUAAAGAAAUUAAGAGCUUUUGAUGGAAUUCUGUGGUUGAAUAACACAAGUAAAGUUAAUCAAUCACAGGAGUCCAUCAAAAAUUUAAAAGGCUAAAAAAAUAUAGAACAUUAAAUUUAAUUUUUGAGAUUACAUAUUCUUUAUGUAGAAUCUUUUUUGAACAAAGUUUUCCAGUAUAGGUAGACUUAGGAACUAAUGAUAACUGGAUAUAUUUUUUAUUUGAAACCACUGGCAUGUAUUUAACUUGUUACUAAUACUUUUUGAUAUCUGCAAUAUCAACUGUAGUUUUCUUUGAAGAGUUCUAUAUGAAAAUGUUACUUCUGAACACUGCUGAAUUACUAGAUUUUAUUCAAUUACCGGGUAUGUUUUGUAAAUGAAAUAUUGUACAAUGGCAUAUUUGUUUGUAUUAUAGAAUUAAGGUUUUUACAGCUAUAUAUUAAAAACAUCUUAAAUUUAAUGUAGUUUCUGCACUGAAUAAUUUUUAAUUUUUUUUUAUAAUUUAUACUAAUUUUGUUAUGUUUGUAUAUUAGUAGAAUAUGAAUAUCAUAUUAAAGGCAUUUAUUUAUUUACAUUAUAGUUUUUAUAUUCAUUGACAGACUUCAGUGGAGAUUCUUUGUACAUUAGACCUUGUUGGUAGUGUCAAUGUUAUUAAGUUUACAUAAAGUAUUUAAGUAUAGUCCUGGGUGUUCACUACAUUGUUCAUUAAACAAUGACCUGGCAGAGUUUUAUACCAUGUGGAUACAUCUGCAAGCUGAUUAGCUUUUAAAAUUUGGUUUUGACAGAACAAAUAUCUGUUUAAGAGGGUAUACAACUCUAGCAAUAAUAUCGUUGACAAUAAAAUGUUCUGAUCAAGUUUAUAUUUUUUGAACAGAAUAUGCAAAUGUGUUAAAUAUACAUUUUUUUUUAUUUUAAGAAUAACAACUGAUAUUUAGUUUUAUCCCUUUGUAUCUUUCUACAGUAGAUAUAUUGCCAUUAUAUUUUUUUUUAAAUUCUAGGUAGUAUAACUUCUAAUUGAAUUGUCUCCCUUUCAAAAUCAAAUGUCUAAAUGAAGUUUUUUUUUUUUAUUCUACACAAUCUUUUACUACUAAAAGUAAUAUCAGGACCACCAAUAAACAUUUAUAUAAGCAGCAGUUUCAGUAUUAUUGUGAUAUUCCAAAAAGUUGGUUGUUAACUUUAAAUAAGCUGUGCCUCUUAUACAUUGAUUUUAUUGACUCAUUUUUAUAUUUAUGUAUACUUUGCAAUAAAGUGGCCUUCAUUUUACAAUA